GACACAGGUUAAUGUUAGCUUACCGGCUGGUAGCAUGCAGCUAAAGACACAGGUUAAUGUUAGCUUACCGGCUGGUAGCAUGCAGCUAAAGACACAGAUUAACGUUAGCUUACCGGCUGGUAGCAUGCAGCUAAAGACACAGGUAAACGUUAGUUUACCGGCUGGUAGCAUGCAGCUAAAGUCACAGGUAAACGUUAGCUUACCGGCUGGUAACAUGCAGCUGAAGACACAGGUUAACGUUAGCUUACCGGCUGGUAGCAUGCAGCUAAAGUCACAGGUAAAUGUUAGCUUACCGGCUGGUAGCAUGCAGCUAAAGUCACAGGUAAACGUUAGCUUACCGGCUGGUAACAUGCAGCUGAAGACACAGGUUAACGUUAGCUUACCGGCUGGUAGCAUGCAGCUAAAGUCACAGGUAAACGUUAGCUUACCGGCUGGUAACAUGCAGCUGAAGACACAGGUUAACGUUAGCUUACCGGCUGGUAGUAUGCAGCU